UACGUAGGGAGCAAGCGUUGUUCGGAUUUACUGGGCGUAAAGGGCGCGUAGGCGGCAAAUUAAGUCAGCUGUGAAAUCUCCGAGCUUAACUCGGAACGGUCAGCUGAUACUGAUCUGCUAGAGUGCGGAAGGGGCAAUCGGAAUUCUUGGUGUAGCGGUGAAAUGCGCAGAUAUCAGGAGGAACACCGGUGGCGAAGGCGGGUCUCUGGGCCGUAACUGACGCUGAGGAGCGAAAGCGUGGGGAGCGAACAGG
rnacentral:rRNA from 1 species